AACACAUAUAUGUGCCCAAGGAUGGUAUGGU
rnacentral:piRNA from 1 species